rnacentral:ncRNA from 1 species
CGGCACUCUGGAGACGCCCGCGGAGCGCGGGGGCCGAAGGUGAAAGCGCGGGGGAACCUGCGCGAAUCUCUCAGGCAAAAGGACAGAGCG